rnacentral:rRNA from 1 species
AACGAACGCUGGCGGCAUGCCUAACACAUGCAAGUCGAACGAGACCUUCGGGCUUUGUUGCGCACGGCUGCUUAACGCCUGGUAACUUGCCCUUAGGUUCCCAACAACUCCCCGAAAGGGGACCUAAUACCGCUUAAGCUCUUCGCACCAAAGAUCUCUCGCCUUUGGAUGGGCCCGCGUUGGAUUAGCUAGUUGGUAGGGUAAAAGCCUACCAAGGCGACGAUCCAUAGCUGGUCUGAGAGGAUGACCAGCCACACUGGGACUGAGACACGGCCCAGACUCCUACGGGAGGCAGCAGUGGGGAAUAUUGGACAAUGGGCGAAAGCCUGAUCCAGCAAUGCCGCGUGAGUGAUGAAGGCCUUAGGAUUGUAAAGCUCUUUUACCCGGGAUGAUAAUGACAGUACCGGGAAAAUAAGCUCCGGCUAACUCCGUG